rnacentral:rRNA from 1 species
GACGUAGGGCGCGAGCGUUGUCCGGAUUUAUUGGGCGUAAAGAGCGUGUAGGCGGCCAGGUAAGGUCUGCUGUGAAAACUCGAGGCUCAACCUCGAGACGUCGGCGGAAACCAUCUGGCUAGAGUCCGGAAGAGGAGAGUGGAAUUCCUGGUGUAGCGGUGAAAUGCGCAGAUAUCAGGAAGAACACCCGUGGCGAAGGCGGCUCUCUGGGACGGUACUGACGCUGAGACGCGAAAGCGUGGGAGCGAAGCAGG